GCGGUCUUGGUGUAAGAGCAGCACAGAGACCUGUGGAGUCUUUAGUAGGAGUGCAAUUCUCCUAGACCGCCC
rnacentral:tRNA from 1 species